rnacentral:miRNA from 2 species
ACCCCACUCCUGGUACC